AUUGAACGCUGGCGGCAUGCCUUACACAUGCAAGUCGAACGGCAGCACGGGAGCAAUCCUGGUGGCGAGUGGCGAACGGGUGAGUAAUGUAUCGGAACGUACCUUUCAGUGGGGGAUAACGUAGCGAAAGUUACGCUAAUACCGCAUAUUCUGUGAGCAGGAAAGCAGGGGAUCGCAAGACCUUGCGCUGAUUGAGCGGCCGAUAUCAGAUUAGCUAGUUGGUGAGGUAAAGGCUCACCAAGGCGACGAUCUGUAGCGGGUCUGAGAGGAUGAUCCGCCACACUGGAACUGAGACACGGUCCAGACUCCUACGGGAGGCAGCAGUGGGGAAUUUUGGACAAUGGGCGAAAGCCUGAUCCAGCCACGCCGCGUGGGUGAUGAAGGCCUUCGGUUGUAAG
rnacentral:rRNA from 1 species